AGUGAACGCUGGCGGUAGGCCUAACACAUGCAAGUCGAACGGCAGCACAGUAAGAGCUUGCUCUUACGGGUGGCGAGUGGCGGGCGGGUGAGGAAUACAUCGGAAUCUACUUUUUCGUGGGGGAUAACGUAGGGAAACUUACGCUAAUACCGCAUACGACCUACGGGUAAAAGCAGGGGAUCUUCGGACCUUGCGCGAUUGAAUGAGCCGAUGUCGGAUUAGCUAGUUGGCGGGGUAAAGGCCCACCAAGGCGACGAUCCGUAGCUGGUCUAAGGGGAUGAUCAGCCACACUGGAACUGAGACACGGUCCAGACUCCUACGGGAGGCAGCAGUGGGGAAUAUUGGACAAUGGGCGCAAGCCCGAUCCAGCCAUACCGCGUGGGUGAAGAAGGCCUUCGGGUUGUAAAGCCCUUUUGUCGGGAAAGAAAAGCAGCAGGUUAAUACCCCGCUGUUCUGACGGUACCCAAAGAAUAAGCACCGGCUAACUUCGUG
rnacentral:rRNA from 1 species